rnacentral:lncRNA from 1 species
AAAUGUUUGCAAAUUGCGAAAACCCUUUUUGAGCUUAUAUGGGAAGGUGCUUCAUAUUUAAUGAACCUUCCAGGACACCAUGAUUGCUCUUUUGGAAUCAUUUAGGAAAACUCGUGAAAGGCUUGUUUGGGAUAGCAUUUGACUUCUACAUUAGGUAGUAGAACUAGAAGUCGUUACUUUUGUUGUGCCAUUGAAUUUCAUGUUUGGAAACUACAUUUUAAAAAUGAUUUUUUAAUUAAAAAUGAGGAUAAUUUUGAAAUUCU